AGUGAACGCUGGCGGUAGGCCUAACACAUGCAAGUCGAACGGCAGCACAGUAAGAGCUUGCUCUUACGGGUGGCGAGUGGCGGACGGGUGAGGAAUAUAUCGGAAUCUACUUUUUCGUGGGGGAUAACGUAGGGAAACUUACGCUAAUACCGCAUACGACCUACGGGUGAAAGCAGGGGAUCUUCGGACCUUGCGCGAUUGAAUGAGCCGAUGUCGGAUUAGCUAGUUGGCGGGGUAAAGGCCCACCAAGGCGACGAUCCGUAGCUGGUCUGAGAGGAUGAUCAGCCACACUGGAACUGAGACACAGUCCAGACUCCUACGGGAGGCAGCAGUGGGGAAUAUUGGACAAUGGGCGCAAGCCUGAUCCAGCCAUACCGCGUGGGUGAAGAAGGCCUUCGGGUUGUAAAGCCCUUUUGUUGGGAAAGAAAAGCAGCAGGUUAAUACCCCGCUGUUCUGACGGUACCCAAAGAAUAAGCACCGGCUAACUUCGUG
rnacentral:rRNA from 1 species